UGAUGUGGGGACACACCUGGGGGCGUUAGGGACACACCUGGGAACACACCUGGGGGCGUUGGGGACACGCCUGGGGGCGUUGGGGACGCACCUGAGUGACCUUGGGGACACAUCUGGUUCACCUGGGGACAUUGGGGAUACUUGGGGACGCACCUGAGUGAUCUGGGUACACACCUGGGAGCAUUGGGGGCAUUUGGGGACACACACACACACCUGGGGACACACCUGGGGACACCUGGGGGCAUUGGGGACAUUUAGGGACACACCUGAGUGAUCUAGGGGCACACCUGGCCAUACUGGGGACACACCUGGGGACACACCUGGGACACUGGGGGCAUUGGGGACACACCUGGGGGCGUUUGGGACACAUCUGAGUGAUUUGGGGGCACGUCUGGCUCACCUGGGGACACAUCUGAGUGACUUGGGGACACACCUGGACACACUGGGGACACGUCUGCGUGACCUGGGGACACCUGGACACUCCUGGACACAUUUUGGAGACACCUUGGAGAUCACAGUGUCCCCACCUCGGUGACGUUCGUGGCCACCCACCCCGCCCAGCUGGUGGCCGGCUUCCGCUCAGGUGCCACCGUCCUCUACGACCUGGAGGUCACCAAGGCCACCCUGGUGUCCCCCAACGGCGGUGGCUCUGGCCAGGUGAACCAGGUGGUCACUCACCCCUCGCAGCCGCUGACCAUCACGGCCAGCGAUGACCGCGGCAUUCGCUACCUGGACAACCGCACAGGUAAGGUCGUGCACUCGAUGGUCGCUCACCUGGACGCCGUCACCUGCCUGGCCCUCGACCCCAGCGGC